rnacentral:rRNA from 1 species
GAUGAACGCUGGCGGCGUGCCUAAUACAUGCAAGUCGAGCGAACGGACGAGAAGCUUGCUUCUCUGAUGUUAGCGGCGGACGGGUGAGUAACACGUGGAUAACCUACCUAUAAGACUGGGAUAACUUCGGGAAACCGGAGCUAAUACCGGAUAAUAUUUUGAACCGCAUGGUUCAAAAGUGAAAGGCGGUCUUGCUGUCACUUAUAGAUGGAUCCGCGCUGCAUUAGCUAGUUGGUAAGGUAACGGCUUACCAAGGCAACGAUGCAUAGCCGACCUGAGAGGGUGAUCGGCCACACUGGAACUGAGACACGGUCCAGACUCCUACGGGAGGCAGCAGUAGGGAAUCUUCCGCAAUGGGCGAAAGCCUGACGGAGCAACGCCGCGUGAGUGAUGAAGGUCUUCGGAUCGUAAAACUCUGUUAUUAGGGAAGAACAUAUGUGUAAGUAACUGUGCACAUCUUGACGAUACCUAAUCAGAAAGCCACGGCUAACUACGUG